rnacentral:misc_RNA from 1 species
AACGCACAUUGCGCCUCCCAGUAUCCUGGGAGGCAUGCCUGUCCGAGCGUCGUUUCAACCCUCGAGCCCCCGUGGCCCGGUGUUGGGGCGCCGUCCAGCUUCGCGCUGGGCGGGCCCUCAAAUACAGUGGCGGUCCCGCGCGUCCCAGCCCUUGCGUAGUAAUUUAUUCUCGCAUCGACUGUCGAGCGGGCUUACUAGCCUCGAAACCCCCUACAAAGACCGCUCCGGCGGCACAUGGUUGACCUCGGAUCAGGUAGGAAUACCCGCUGAACUUAA